rnacentral:rRNA from 1 species
AAUUUUAAAUUAUAUAUUUUAAAUAAUUUGUUAUUUUUUUAUAAUUAUAAAAAUAUUUUAAGGAUUUUUAUGUUUAAGUAUAUAAUUUUAAAAUAAUAAAAUUUUUUAUAUAGUUAGUAUUGAAAAAGAAUAUAUUUUUUUAUAAAAAAGUAUAUUUUAAUUAUUUUACCUUUUGUAUCAGGAUUAAUUAAAAAUUUUUAAAAAAUUUUUAAUAUCUCGAAAGUGAAAGAGUUAAUUAAAUAAUAUUUUUUAAGUGGAAAUUUAAUUAUAAAUAUUUAAUUAGGAAUGAAAUGUUAAUCAAUUUUAUUAAUAUCUAGUUAUUUAUUAAAUGAAUUAAAUUCAUUUAUUUAAUUAAUUAAUAUUUUUUAAAAAAAUUAUAAUUAAUUAAAUGAAAAUAUUUUUAGGGAUAAGCUUAAAUUUAAAUUUUAUAAUUUAAUUAAUUUUAUAAAAAAUUAAUAUUUAUUUAAUUUGAAUUUUUUAAUUAUAAUGUUAUAAUAAAUUUUUUUUAAAGAAGUAUAAUUUAAAUUAAUAAUAUAAAAUUUAAUAAAUUGAUUAUUUAAAUUAUUUAAAAUAUUUUAAUAAUGAUUAAAUUAGUAAAUUAAAAUUAUAUAAAUAAUAUUUAAUAAGAAUAUUAUUUUAAGGAAUUAGGCAAUUUUUUUUAUAUCCGCCUGUUUAUCAAAAACAUGUCUUUAUGAAUAUAAUUUAAAGUCUAAUCUGCCCAAUGAUAUUAAAUUUUAAUGGCUGCAGUAUAUUGACUGUACAAAGGUAGCAUAAUCAUUUGUCUUUUAAUUGAAGACUGGAAUGAAUGAUUGAACGAGAUAUAAACUGUCUCAAUUUAAUUUAUUGAAUUUAGUUUUUUAGUUAAAAAACUUAAAUUUAAUUAAAAGACGAUAAGACCCUAUAGAAUUUUAUAUUUUAUAAGAAAAAUAGCAUAUAAAUUUAUUUAAAUUUUUUUUUAAAAAUAUUUGAUUGGGAUGAUUUUUAAAUUGAAUUAACUUUAAAUUUUUUUUAUACAAUGAUAAAUGUUUAAAAAUAUUUUUUAUUAAUAAUUAAGAAAUUAAAUUACCUUAGGGAUAACAGCGUAAUAUUUUUGGAGAGAUCUUAUUGAUAAAAAUGUUUGCGACCUCGAUGUUGAAUUAAGAUAAAAAUUAAAUGUAGAAGUUUAAUAUUUGAGUCUGUUCGACUUUUAAAAUCUUACAUGAUUUGAGUUCAGAUCGGUGUGAGCCAGAUCGGAUUCUAUCUUUAAUUAAUUUAAAUAUUUUUGUACGAAAGGACUAUUUAUUUAUAUAAUAUAUUUAAUUUAAGUAAAUUUAAUUUUU